UUGAAGAGUUUUAUCUGUUUCCUUUAACUGUUUGUAUUUUCUUGGCAUUGUUUAGGGGAUUUUUUUCAUUUCCUUCAAUUGUUUGUUUGCAUUUUCCAGGAUUUCUUAAAGGGACUUACUCAUUUUCUCUUCAAGGAUUUCCAUCAUGUUCAUUUAGUUGGUUUUAAGGUCUCUUUCCUGUGCUCCAGCUGUGUUGGAAGAUCCCAGGUCUGCUUCAGUAGCUGGGCUCUUACAGUGACCUCUAGACAUCUCAGUUUGAGGGAAUGCCUUCUGGUGGAGAGCCUGGGAUGCAGUGGAAAGUAGUGAAAGGAGGUCCUUCGUCUCCAGUCCUGCACAUCAGUUUCUACAAUCAGUGGCUUCAACUUUUUUCUAUCUUCUGUUUGCUUGAGACCCCAUCCCUUUGUCUCACAGCUGUCCUCAUGCAACAACAGUACAUCAGCACAAGGUGUUCCUAAAUUGCCGGGGUCUUCCUUGUAUGAUGCACUGGAGGUGUCAACGGUUGGUGCGUUUGAGGAACACCACUCUUUAAAGCCUAUGAAAAGGAAGAGGAAACGUUGCUUUUGUUAUUGGGAAACCUCCAAUAAAAUUAAAAAUGC